GUGGUUGUAGCUCAGUUGGUUAGAGCGUUAGAUUGUGGUCCUAAAGGUCGCCGGUUCGAUCCCGGUCAUCCACC
rnacentral:tRNA from 1 species